AGAGAGAGAGAGAGAGAGAGAGAGUUGGACUAGGCUACUAUUAGUAGCAAAAUUCUAUUGUUGCUACCAGUUUUUUAGUCUUUGGAUCAACUCUUUUCAUUAUUUCUAACCAUUGGAUUAAAUACUAUAACCCAGUGGGGACCACUCAACCCUAGAGGGACCACUCAACUCUAACCGACUAAUAUCAUUAUGACCUACAAUUUUUCAUCUAAGGGUUAAAAACUUGAUAACAAAAAGAGCGUUAUAUAUAUAUAUAUAUAUAUAUAUAUAUAUGUAUGCCUCAUUGUUGUUUUUUGUUU
rnacentral:lncRNA from 1 species